CUGAUUUGGCAGAUUAAAGUGCAUUAAAUUUAGAAUUUAUUUAUAUAGUUUAUAUUAUAUUCAGUAU
rnacentral:tRNA from 1 species